rnacentral:rRNA from 1 species
GGAUCCAGACUUUGAUUAUGGCUCAGGAUGAACGCUAGCUACAGGCUUAACACAUGCAAGUCGAGGGGAAACGACAUCGAAAGCUUGCUUUUGGUGGGCGUCGACCGGCGCACGGGUGAGUAACGCGUAUCCAACCUGCCCAUCACUUGGGGAUAACCUUGCGAAAGUAAGACUAAUACCCAAUGACGUCUCUAGAAGACAUCUGAAGGAGAUUAAAGAUUUAUCGGUGAUGGAUGGGGAUGCGUCUGAUUAGCUUGUUGGCGGGGUAACGGCCCACCAAGGCGACGAUCAGUAGGGGUUCUGAGAGGAAGGUCCCCCACACUGGAACUGAGACACGGUCCAAACUCCUACGGGAGGCAGCAGUGAGGAAUAUUGGUCAAUGGACGAGAGUCUGAACCAGCCAAGUAGCGUGCAGGAUGACGGCCCUAUGGGUUGUAAACUGCUUUUAUAAGGGAAUAAAGUGAGCCUCGUGAGGCUUUUUGCAUGUACCUUAUGAAUAAGGACCGGCUAAUUCCGUGCCAGCAGCCGCGGUAAUACGGAAGGUCCGGGCGUUAUCCGGAUUUAUUGGGUUUAAAGGGAGCGUAGGCCGGAGAUUAAGCGUGUUGUGAAAUGUAGACGCUCAACGUCUGCACUGCAGCGCGAACUGGUUUCCUUGAGUACGCACGAAGUGGGCGGAAUUCGUGGUGUAGCGGUGAAAUGCUUAGAUAUCACGAAGAACUCCGAUUGCGAAGGCAGCUCACUGGAGCGCAACUGACGCUGAAGCUCGAAAGUGCGGGUAUCGAACAGGAUUAGAUACCCUGGUAGUCCGCACGGUAAACGAUGGAUGCCCGCUGUUGGUCUGAAUAGGUCAGCGGCCAAGCGAAAGCAUUAAGCAUCCCACCUGGGGAGUUCGCCGGCAACGGUGCAACUCAAAUGAAUUGACGG